rnacentral:rRNA from 1 species
AGGAGAAAAUAAACAAUGAUUCCGUAAGUAGUGGCGAGCGAACACGGAAGAGCCCAAACCCGUGCCGUCUAGGCGACACGGGGGUUGUAGGACCACGACGUGGCAAGAUAGAGUCAAGUGGAACGCCUUGGAAAAGGCGGUCAUAGAGGGUGAAAACCCCGUACACGACUGACGAUUGAAGCCUAGUGGUAUCCUGAGUAGCGCGGGGCACGAGAAAUCUUGCGUGAAACUGCGGGGCCCAUCCCGUAAGGCUAAAUACUCCCGAGAGACCGAUAGCGAACCAGUACCGUGAGGGAAAGGUGAAAAGAACCCCGAGCAGGGGAGUGAAAUAGACCCUGAACCCGUCUGCCUACAAGCGGUCGGAGCGUUGUUAUGACGUGACGGCGUGCCUUUUGCAUAAUGAACCUACGAGUUACCUUCCCCGGCAAGGUUAAGUACCUAAGGUACGGAGCCGAAGCGAAAGCGAGUCUGAAGAGGGCGGCCAGUCGGGGGGGGUAGACGCGAAACCGAGUGAUCUACCCUUGGCCAGGUUGAAGGUUGGGUAACACCAACUGGAGGACCGGAUGGGUAAGCGUUGAAAAGCUUUCCAAUGAGCUGAGGGUAGGGGUGAAAGGCUAAUCAAACUCGGAGAUAGCUCGUACUCCCCGAAAUGCAUUUAGGUGCAGCCUCUUUAUAGUAUAUCGUGAGGUAGAGCGACUGAUUGGAUGCGAGGGCUUCACCGCCUAUCAAGUCCAGAUAAACUCCGAAUGCGCGAUAUAUAUUUACAGGGAGUGAGGGCGCGGGUGCUAAGGUCCGUGUCCGAGAGGAGAAGAAUCCAGACCACCGGCUAAGGCCCCCAAAUGAUCGUUGAGUUGAACUAACGAGGUCGGAUCGCAGAGACAGCUAGGAUGUUGGCUUGGAAGCAGCCAUUCAUUUAAAGAGUGCGUAACAGCUCACUAGUCGAGCGAUCUGGCGUGGAUAAUAAUCGGGCAUAAACGAUCUGCCGAAGCCGUGGAUGUCGUAAGACAUGGUAGGGGAGCAUUCCAUGCGGCGUCGAAGAUGAGGGAUGACCCUUGUUGGAGCGCAUGGAAAAGCAAAUGUAGGUAUGAGUAACGAUAAGGGGGGCGAGAAACCCCCCCGCCGAAAGACCAAGGUUUCCUGAUCAACGCUAAUCGGAUCAGGGUGAGUCGGGACCUAAGGCAAAGCCGAACGGCGCCGCCGAUGGAAGAAUGGGUUAAUAUUCCCAUACUGCCUCAUGGAGUGACGUGGAGACGGAGAAGUGACAGUCCUGCCGGCUGACGGAAUAGCCGGUUGAAGGGUGUAGAUAUUGAUUCCCGUAGGCAAAUCCGCGGGGAGAGUCGAACCUGACAGUAUACCGAGUACUUGUACGAGGUAAUAUGGACGUAACCAUGCUCCCAAGAAAAUCCGCUAAACUUAUCCAUGCGGCACCCGUACCGUAAACGGACACACGUGGUCGGGUUGAGAAUACUGAGGCGCUCGAGUGACUCACGGUUAAGGAACUAGGCAAAUUGACCCUGUAACUUCGGGAUAAAGGGUCCUCGUCGUAAGGCGAGGCGCAGAGAAUAGGUCCAGGCAACUGUUUAACAAAAACACAUGGCUAUGCUAAAUGGAAACAUGACGUAUAUAGCCUGACACCUGCCCGGUGCUGGAAGGUUAAGAGGAGAUGUCAUCGCAAGAGAAGCGUUGAAUUGAAGCCCCAGUAAACGGCGGCCGUAACUAUAACGGUCCUAAGGUAGCGAAAUUCCUUGUC